UACGUAGGGGGCUAGCGUUGUCCGGAUUUAUUGGGCGUAAAGAGCGUGUAGGCGGCCAGGUAGGUCUGCUGUGAAAACUCGAGGCUCAACCUCGAGACGUCGGCGGAAACCAUCUGGCUAGAGUCCGGAAGAGGAGAGUGGAAUUCCGUGGUGUAGCGGUGAAAUGCGCAGAUAUCAGGAGGAACACCGAUGGCGAAGGCAGCCCCCUGG
rnacentral:rRNA from 1 species